rnacentral:rRNA from 1 species
GAUCUGUGCUAGAUGGUCUAUCCGUAUGGGUACGUACUGUUUUAGCCGGGUCUUUCCUUCUGGAGAGCUAUGGUGGUCUUUAUUGGCUGCCAUAGGGAUCCAGGACUUUUACUUUGAAAAAAUUAGAGUGUUCAAAGCAAGCUAUCGCUUGAAUACAUUAGCAUGGAAUAAUAGAAUAGGACUCUGGUUCUAUUUUGUUGGUUUUUAGGACCAAGGUA